rnacentral:rRNA from 1 species
AACGAGUUACGUUAAGUAGCAAGGUUAAGCACUUAAGGUGCGGAGCCGUAGCGAAAGCGAGUUUUAACUGAGCGUUCAGUUACUUGACGUAGACCCGAAACCGGGCGACCUACCCAUGAGCAGGAUGAAGCGAAAGGAAAAUUUCGUGGAGGUCCGAACCCACGAGCGUUGAAAAGCUCGGGGAUGACUUGUGGGUAGCGGUGAAAUUCCAAUCGAGCCCGGAGAUAGCUGGUUCUCCCCGAAAUAGCUUUAGGGCUAGCCUCAAGGUGAGAGAUACGGAGGUAGAGCACUGAAUGUCCUAGGGG